AUGGGCCCCCUUGUGGUAGACCCACAUGUCAUCGGUGUAACUAUUUACACUCCGAAGGACGUACCAUAUAACUGGAAUUACCGAUGCAAGUCGAAGAAGGAUUGGACGGUGCUGUCGGCUGGCGUCAAGUUCGAUCCCAUAGAUCAGGAGCUGAUCGAGCACCUUGAGGCCAAAGUGAGUGCUGACAGCGCAAGAUUUCAGUCUCUCAUUGAUUUAUUCAUACCAACCAUCGACAGUGAGCAAGGCAUAUGCUACACUCAACCUGAGAAACUUCCAGGUAUCACACUGAGUGGCCUAAGGAAGCAUUUCUUCCAGCGCAAUUCCAGGGCGUUCAAAAGGGGCACAUGGACACGUCGCAAGAUACAGUCGGAGUGCGGCUUGCACGCGAUGUGGCACAAGACCGGCAAUACCUUGCCGGUGAUGGUCAACGGCCGACAGACGGGCAGCAAAAAAGGUUCUGGUGCUGCACACCAACAAGAACUUCGACCAGCAGAGGACCAACUGGGUGAUGCACCAGUACCACCUCGGGGACCUAGAGCAAGAGAAGGAGCGGGAGCUGUUGUACUACCUUGUCGUCCGCAAGUUGGUAUUGUUGUUAACGAUCUUUUGGCCCAGCCCAUGACGACAAUGGGGCACAAAGAUCCAGCAGGUAUCUACUGGCCUCUGGCCCGCCAGCGUUAG
rnacentral:rRNA from 1 species